CGAGCAGUGGAAUCUCCAUGGAGUCGUGGAGUCGGUGUGGCCUCGCAUCCACAGUGCACCCUGUGCUGGUGGAUGGCUCAGGACACAGUUGUCAUGAGAGGUCUGCCGCUUGCUGGCAAGGAAGAUGGUCAAUUCUUCUGACCAACAGAGGCUGCCUUGAGUCCUGAUUUGGUGUGGCCUGGCAUCUAUGGUGCACCCAAUGCUGUUGCCGUGGGAGGCCUGCCGUCUGCUGAAAGGAAGAUGGUUGAUGCUUCUGAGCAAUGAAGGCCCCAUGGAGUCCUGGAUUCGGUGUGGCCUUGCAUCCGUGGUGCACCCCGUGCUGGUGGAUGGCUCAGGACGGGGCAGUUGCCAUGGGAGGCGCAGGCCUGCUGGAAGGAAGAUGGUCGAUUCUCCCAAGCAACAAAGGCCACGUAGAGUCCUGGUUUCAGUGUGGCCUGGUAUCCACAGUGCACCCCGUGCUGGUGGGUGGCUCAGGACGCACACUCAUUUCCUCUGCACCUUCCUGGUGUCAUUGGCAUGGAAGGAAGGCCCUUGUCCAAGAAGGAUGGUCUUCGUCUUGUGUGAUCUUUGAGAUGCCAUGAGGCCCCUGGAUACAAAUGGUGUGGGCUCCUUUGGAGGCUUUUGGAUUUCUCCUGAAUGUGGCGUUGGUAUGGAAGGAAGGCCAGUGACCGCAAGGGAUGACUUUGAUCUUGGGAGAUUUUUGGAGAUGGCAAAGUGCUUCUAAACAUGUUUGGCAUGGUCUCCUUCAGGCUGGUGGAUACCUCAGGAUGGUGGCGUUGGCAUGGAAGGAAGGACUGUGUCUGUGAGGGAUGAUCAUCCUCUCAUGUGAUCCUUGGAGAUGCCAGGAAGCCCCUUGACACAUGUGGCAUGGGCUCCUUCAGAGGCUUUUGGAUCCGUCGUGAAUGUGGCAUGGGCAUGCAAAGAAAGACAGAGGCUGCAAGGGAUAAACUUCAUCUUGGGAGAUCCCUGGAGAUGGCAGGGAACCCAUGGACACAUGUGGCAUGGGCUCCUUUGGGUGCCGGUGGAUCCCUUCAUACGGUAGUGUUGGUGUAAAAGGCAAACCCGUGUCAUGAGGGAUGGUCAUCAUCUUGUGUGAUCCUUGGAGAUGGCAGGAAGCCCUGGACAUACAUGGUGUGGGGGCUCCUCCAGAGGCUGUUGGGAUCCUCCUGGAUGUGGUGUGGGCAUGGAAGGAAGGCCAGUGGAGACAAUGGAUGAUCUUGUUCUUAGCAGAUCACUGGAUGUGGCAGGGAGUCCUAGGACAUGUGUGGUGUGGGCUUCUUCAGGUGCUGGUGGUGUUGGCAUGAGGAAAGGAGGUAUCUUCGAGGGACAAUCUUCUUCUUGUGCGAUCCUUGGAGAUGCCAUGAGGCCCCUGGACACAUGUGGUGUGGGCUCCUUUGGAGGCUGUUGUAUCCCUUCUGAAUGUGGUCUGGCAUGGAAGAAGGCCAGAGGCUGCGAUGGAUCAUCUUUGUCUUGGGAGAUUCCUGGAGAUGGUGGGGAGCCCCUGGGCACGUGCAGCAUAUGUGGCGUGGGCUUCUUCAGGUGCUGGUGGAUCCCUCAGGAUGCUUUUCAAGGUUUUUCUAUGAGUUCUGUUAAAGAGUCUGAAAAUGGAGCGUAGAAGACAUGCUUCGAUUUCCAGGAUGGUUGUGUUUUCCAGAGAGGCGGAGGUAAACCACUGGCGCAGCCCUGCCUCCCACAGAUAAUUCCGGGUGCAGUGUUUCAUAUCUAGACUUGGACUUCUAUCCUACCAUACUUCUUUGUGUGCAGUUCAUUGUGGAACCAGCACAGAUUUUCAUACGAAAGUUAUUUCUUUUUAACCUCAAAAAGUGACAGAAUGGAGUGUAUCAUGAAAAAGUCUGACAUCAAAACCUCAAAAUGUGAUAUUGAUUGGGUGAGAUAGAAUUCCAUGGAAUUUCAUUGCCAAACCAGUGAAGUGCUAAUUUUGACAUUUGUACCAGCUAACGUAGCUGUGAAGAAACACACCAAUACACUUCUAAGGACAGCAUAGACCAAGAUCUAGGUUUCAUAUGGAUGAAUUUAUUCUUCCCUUUGAGGCAAGACAAGAAGGAAAGAAAGUAUUGGGAAUAAUGCUGCCCUCCCAUCCUCAAGGGCCAGUGGGAACUCUAAUAUUGAUUGGGUGAGAUACAAUUCCAUGGAAUUUUACCACUGAACCAGUGGAGGGCUAAUUUUGUCAUUUGUACCAGUUAACUAACUUGGGAGGAAACAGAACAACACACUCCUGAGAUUGGUUUUCACAGAAUUCCAUGGACUUUAACUGCUGAACCAAUGAUGCACUGAUUUUGUCACUUGUACCAGCUAACGCAUCUGGGAGGCAACAAAACAAUACUCUCCUGAGGUUAAUGUGGACCAAAAACUAGAUUUCAUAUAAAAGAGUUUAUUCCUUCUACUUGAGGUGUGACAUGAAGGAAAGUAAUGGAAAUAAUUCUGCCCUCCCAUUCUCAAGGGCCAGGGGGAAUUCAAAUAUUGAACGGAAGUGAUUUUGGAAUUGCAUGGAAUUCUCACUGCCAUCCCAAAGAAAUGCUGAUCUUGUCACUCUUACCUGUUUCAUUCCCUGGGGGCAGAACAAAAGGACGCACUCCAAAGAUCGGCAUGAACCAAGAACUGGGUUUCAUAUAAAAUAUUUUAUUCUGUCCUCUUGAGAUGUGACAUGAGAAAAGUAUUGAGAAUACUUCUAUCACCUCAUCUUCAAGAAUCCGUAGGAAUUCUCCCAUGGUGGACUUUACGGUUAACCUGAACAGGUCUUGGAAAAAGGACUUUAAACAUUCUCCUGUUCUGUGGAAUAAGUAUACUUUUUUCUGGACAUACACCUUGUCAGUGAGUUCCAUGUGAUACUAGAGUUGCAUAGAUUUUUAACCUUUACGCCAAUGAAGAUCUGAGGCAAACAUUGCCCCUUUUUUAGAAGUUUGCAUUUGUCACUGAUAACUGUAAUAAUUGAUCUUGUUGAAAAGCCUGGGAAAUGAAGAUCUGAUAUGUCACUUUUACCGGCUUCCUCAACUGAAAAAGAAUACAAUGAAACACGCUGAGAAUUUUUGUGCUUUCUCAGUCUUGCUGAUGAUCUUUCUAUGGGCCUGAAGCGUGGAGAGUGCCAGAGAGGCUGAUCCUCAGCAGUGUGGCAGAGGAAAGUUGGGUGCGACUAAGGGGUAUGCGGUGCCCACAUGCCACUGGGUCCUCAGCAGUACCACCUGAUUGGAAGUGAUAUUGGUGGAAGACAACAUUUUGCCGCUUGGAAUUCUCACCUCCACACCAAAGAAGUACUGUUUUUGUCAUUUGCACCAGCUUCUUUCUCCAGGAAAGAUCAAAACGAUGCACUGCAAGGUUAACAUCCAAUUUUUAAUACAUGUAAUUCCCUGGAUUAUUUUUGUUGUGUUAUUAAAUAACUUAGAAUUUUUUUUACAAA
ensembl:lncRNA SNHG14 small nucleolar RNA host gene 14